rnacentral:tRNA from 1 species
GGCUCGGUGAUUAGAGGUUAGAGCCUAGGGCUAGUAACCGAAAGGUUCCGAGUUCGAACCUCGCAUGAGACA